rnacentral:rRNA from 1 species
GACGUAGGAUGCAAGCGUUAUCCGGAAUUAUUGGGCGUAAAGCGUACGUAGGCGGUUCGCUAAGUCUGGAGUUAAAGACCGAGGCUCAACCUCGGGAGUGCUCUGGAAACUGGUGAGCUUGAGGACGGCAGAGGAAAGUGGAAUUCCCAGUGUAGCGGUGAAAUGCGUAGAUAUUGGGAGGAACACCAGUGGCGAAAGCGACUUUCUGGGCCGUUCCUGACGCUGAGGUACGAAAGCCAGGGGAGCAAACGGG